UACGGGGGGGGCAAGCGUUGUUCGGAAUUACUGGGCGUAAAGGGCUCGUAGGUGGCCAACUAAGUCAGACGUGAAAUCCCCAGGCUCAACUUGGGAACUGCGUCUGAUACUGGAUGGCUUGAAUUCGGGAGAGGGAUGCAGAAUUCCAGGUGUAGCGGUGAAAUGCGUAGAUAUCUGGAGGAACACCGGUGGCGAAGGCGACAUCCUGGACCGGUAUUGACGCUGAGGCGCGAAAGCCAGGGGAGCAAACGGG
rnacentral:rRNA from 1 species